rnacentral:rRNA from 1 species
AACGAACGCUGGCGGCAUGCCUAACACAUGCAAGUCGAACGAGACCUUCGGGUCUAGUGGCGCACGGGUGCGUAACGCGUGGGAACCUGCCCUUAGGUUCGGAAUAACUCCCCGAAAGGGGUGCUAAUACCGGAUAAUGUCUUCGGACCAAAGAUUUGUCGCCUUUGGAUGGGCCCGCGUUGGAUUAGCUAGUUGGUAGGGUAAAAGCCUGCCAAGGCGACGAUCCAUAGCUGGUCUGAGAGGAUGAUCAGCCACACUGGGACUGAGACACGGCCCAGACUCCUACGGGAGGCAGCAGUGGGGAAUAUUGGACAAUGGGCGAAAGCCUGAUCCAGCAAUGCCGCGUGAGUGAUGAAGGCCUUAGGGUUGUAAAGCUCUUUUACCCGGGAUGAUAAUGACAGUACCGGGAGAAUAAGCUCCGGCUAACUCCGUG